rnacentral:lncRNA from 1 species
CCAAGAUCACCCAGGCCAACCAUCCGCCUCUCACCAAUAUUUCCUGCUAAACCACGUCCCUCAGUACAACAUCUACACAUUUAGUUGCAGCAUCUUGGUCCUGUGCAGAAGCUUGUAAUGGGGCUAUAGAAUUAAAUCUGAGCACAACGUAUGGCAAUCAGUCAGUGGCAGUGAUAAAGAUCCUAUUUCCUCAGUUGAAGUGGGAGCAGAUAAUGCAUGCAGUGCAGAAGUGGAAAGCUGAUGCAACAGAGUCGAAUUCAGUCACGUCAGAUGUUGGACUUGGGAAAGCGCCUAUUAAGGACGGCAGUGCCAGCUGGGGAAGGUCUUGCAUCUGGCUAUGUGCUCCUGUCACCAAAGCCACUCCUAAGGCUGCACCAGGGCAGCAGUUUGCAGGGUGAUUGAAUGAACCACAUAUAGCACUGGGGAGAAAUGGAAAUCUUUUUUAAGGUCACCAGUAAUAUCACAGAGACAACACCCAGG